rnacentral:lncRNA from 1 species
GAAAAUUUAUUUCCCUUCAUUUCUCUUUCACCACUUCCUUAACUAAAAAAUCUCAAAACUUUUAAAUGGCUACCUCCGAAGUCCGUGCAAUUCAACCCAAUCAAGCUGUAAGUGAUUUUCAUCUUAAGUUUUAACAUUUUUCUUUCAAAUUCUUCUUUUAUUUAGGUGGAGCUUAAUUUACGGUACACUUUAUCCUUGUACUUUGAAAUUUUGCAUCUGUAUUAGGUUGUCCUAUUAUUUUCCUUCACAUCAUAUGAUUUCAUUGAAUAGAAUUUUGCAUUCUACUAUUUUUUUUUUCAAAUAUCAUGUCAUCAAUGGCAUCCUUCCUGGUUCGAAACUCCUAUAAUAUUUGCAGUUAACUGAAGUUUGAGCCAAAACCUUUACCCCAAUGUAGUAUAAUCAUGAUUAAGAUACAAUUAUGUGAAGCAAUAAUGCUGUAGAAUUUAAAUAGCUUGUGGACGCUGCCAAAACCUUAAUUUUUUCCUUAAUCUUUCCCUUUGGAAAUUUGUUGGAAUUCGAAAACUAAAAUGUGAUGAACUGAAAGUAUGCGAUUAUGGCAUCAUUGAUAUAGCGCUUAACUGAACAGAUUCAUAAGAAUCUAGAAUCACAAGUUGGCGACAUGUUUGGGUAAAGGAAUAAGAAUACUGUUAGAAACAAAAACUAUGUAAACAAAAAAAGAGAGAGCUAUUAAUACACAUGCAAUCUUGGAACCAUCUUCAGUUAAGUAACAUCUUUUUUCUAAAUUACAAUAUGUACGUUUUUGUUGAUGGAUGGGAUUAGUAACAUGAAUCUUGCGAAGAUAAUUAUAUAUAUUUUUUCAAAAGGAUAACACGAAUCUUGGAUUUUAAUGUUGAAUAUUGUUUACUAUCUUUUAGAGUUUUUUUUUUUUUUAUCAUACUUUACUACCUUUUCCUAUUUUCCUUGUAUUUUGAUAAAUGAAUUUUCUCUUAUUUUUCUAGUCGCAGUAUUUUUCUCUGCAUAUAGCUACAGAAAAAAAAUAAAAAUGAAAGCCAAUAGAAAAAAACUUGCAUUAGUAGUGUACAUUAAGCCACAUACGUGAGUCCAAUUCACAUUAAUUACAUGAUUGACAAUCAUAAUUUGCUUAUUCAACUACUUCUCUUUGUCCUAUUACAGUUCCAGCAUUUUACGAGUUUAAUUAUAGUCAUGCUUUGUAUUCCCUUCCAAAGCCAUGCCUUUAAAAAUAUCUUUCUACUAGCCGGGCAAAGCAAUAUGUCUGGCCGAGGUGGUGUUAUUAAUGGUCGUUGGACAGGAUAUAUCCCACCGGAAUGCCGUUCUCAACCAUCGAUCCUACGACUUAGUGCUGGACUUACAUGGGAAGUGGCAUGUGAGCCUUUACAUCGAGAUAUGGACAAUAAAACUUGUGGGGUGGGACCUGGUAUGUCAUUUGCCAAUUAUGUAUUGGAAAAAGAUUCCAAUAUUGGGGUGAUUGGUUUGGUUCCUUGCGCUAAUGGCGGAACCUCUAUAUCCGAUUGGAGACAAGGCUCACCUCUCUAUGAUGGAAUCACGAUUAGGUCUAAAGCA